AAGCAGUGGUUGGGGGAGGGGGACGCGGUGGCUUGCGCCUGUAAUCCCAGCACUUUGGGAGGCUGAGGCGGGUGGAUCACGAGGUCAGGAGUUUAAGACCAGCCUGGCCAAGAUGGUGAAACCCUGUCUCUACUAAAAAUACAAAACUAGCCAGGCAUGGUGGCAGGUGUCUGUAAUCCAGGCUACUUGGGAGGCUGAGGCAGGAGAAUUGCUUGAACCCAGUGUUCGGUAGAAAGCCCCGCCAUCUUUCCCCAGGUCUCUUGCCCCCGCCUUCCCCUCAGGCUUCCUGCUGCCUUGAGAAAAGCCCGCCAAACCAGUUCUGUUCUGCCCAGCAACGACAAGUAGCCAAUCGUCGCAACAGAAAAGCCCGCCAAGCCUCAACCUAUCCCGAACCGACACACAACCCUCUGAGCCACCUCAGCAGCCUGCCCAGAGACGGACAGCCUAUCCUAAGCUCCUACGACACUCUGCCAGCCCUGUGUCCACGCCCCAUCCACCCCCCUAUAAAACCCUCCUACCCCAGCUGCGCAGUCGCAGCCAGCCCCGAUCUCCUUCCUUUCCUGGCCUGCCCGCUGGUCCCAAUAAACCUGAACUCGGCUUCCAACUCUCGCUCGAGCUGUUACUUGGGAUCGGGUACCGGGCAGGGGUCUACAAGGGGGUCGCACAUUUGGUGCCGAAACCCGGGAGCGAGGGUCGCUAGCCCCCCUAGCGACCCCCUCCCUCCAGCGACCUCUCCAGCCCUCCUCCGAAUUGGCCCCAGCACUCCGAACCAGGCUGGAUCGAAGCUUUUCCCACUACUUCGGAGUCCGCCGACACUGUUGCUGCCCACCUCAUCCAGGACAUCAUCCCUCGGUUUGGGCUCCCGGCCACUAUUCAGUCAGACAACGGCCCGGCCUUUGUCUCCAAAGUUACUAAUGCUGUCUGUGCUUCCUUAGGAAUUCAGUGGAAGUUGCAUGCGGCCUACCACCCCCAGUCAUCGGGUAAGGUAGAACGGGCUAACGGACUAAUCAAGGAUCAACUUACCAAACUCUCUCUCGAGCUCAAGCAGUCGUGGGUCUCCUUACUACCGUUAGCUCUUGCCAGGCUGCGGGCCCGCCCCCGAGGAGCUUCACAGCUCAGCCCAUUCGAGCUCCUAUACGGGCGACCCUUCCUGCUAUCUACUCCACCUUCUCUGGAAAGUUCCCCCCUGAACACCUACCUUCCCUAUUUUACUCUCCUCAGACAUCUACUCAGGGAACACACCAACGCUUCCAUACCCCAAACCUCAGAAAUUUCACCCGCUCUGGGAAAAGUUGCUCCCGGUGACUCUGUUUUCAUUAAAUCUCUCACUCCAAAACCCCUCUCACCCCGGUGGGAAGGGCCCUAUACUGUCAUUUUAGCUACCCCAACGGCCAUCAAAGUCGCUCAGAUUCCAUCUUGGGUCCAUCUCUC
rnacentral:lncRNA from 1 species